UGGGGAAUAUUGGACAAUGGGCGCAAGCCUGAUCCAGCCAUGCCGCGUGAGUGAUGAAGGCCCUAGGGUUGUAAAGCUCUUUCACCGGUGAAGAUAAUGACGGUAACCGGAGAAGAAGCUCCGGCUAACUUCGUGCCAGCAGCCGCGGUAAUACGAAGGGGGCUAGCGUUGUUCGGAUUUACUGGGCGUAAAGCGCACGUAGGCGGACUUUUAAGUCAGGGGUGAAAUCCCGGGGCUCAACCCCGGAACUGCCUUUGAUACUGGAAGUCUUGAGGAGGGAAGAGGUGAGUGGAAUUCCGAGUGUAGAGGUGAAAUUCGUAGAUAUUCGGAGGAACACCAGUGGCGAAGGCGGCUCACUGGACCAAUACUGACGCUGAGGUGCGAAAGCGUGGGGAGCAAACAGG
rnacentral:rRNA from 1 species